rnacentral:tRNA from 1 species
GCGCUCGUAGCUCAGCUGGAUAGAGUGUUGGCCUCCGAAGCCAAAGGUCAUGAGUUCGAAUCUCAUCGGGCGCACCA